rnacentral:rRNA from 1 species
AUUGAACGCUGGCGGCAGGCCUAACACAUGCAAGUCGAGCGAGCGGCGGACGGGUGAGUAAUGUCUGGGAAACUGCCUGAUGGAGGGGGAUAACUACUGGAAACGGUAGCUAAUACCGCAUACCAUCAGAUGUGCCAAGAUGGGAUUAGCUAGUAGGUGGGUUAACGGCUCACCUAGGCGACGAUCCCUAGCUGGUCUGAGAGGAUGACCAGCCACACUGGAACUGAGACCCGGUCCAGACUCCUACGGGAGGCAGCAGUGGGGAAUAUUGCACAUGUGGCGAAAGCUUGAUGCAGCCAUGCCGCGUGUGUUAAGAAGGCCUUCGGGUUGUAAAGCACUUUCAGCGGGGAGGCGUUACCCGAAGAAGAAGCACCGGCUAACUCCGUGCCAGCAGCCGCGGUAAUAC